rnacentral:snRNA from 1 species
GGAUGUGAGGGCGAUCUGGCUGUGACAUCUGUCAUCCCAUUGAUGGCCAGGGUUGAUUCGGCUUAUCUGGCUGGCUAGGCGGGUGUCCCCUUCCUCCCUCACUGCUCCAUGUGCAUCCCUCCUGAAGCUGCAUGCUCAGUGGAAGAGGACGACCAUCCCUGAUAGAGGAGGACCGUUCUUCGGUCAAGGGUAUACGAGUAGCUGCGCUCCCCUGCUAGAACCUCCAAACAAGCUCUCAAGAAUACAGAACAUGGAAAGAUCUCCUGUGCUCAUGCAUUGGUAGAAUUAACAUAGCAAAAAUGGCUAUACUAC